GUGGCUCAGCUGGUAGAGCAUUGCGCUAACAACGCAAAGGUCGUGGGUUAAUAUCCCAGGCA
rnacentral:tRNA from 1 species